UACGUAGGGUGCGAGCGUUGUCCGGAAUUAUUGGGCGUAAAGAGCUCGUAGGCGGCUUGUCGCGUCGGAUGUGAAAGCCCGGGGCUUAACUCCGGGUCUGCAUUCGAUACGGGCAGGCUAGAGUUCGGUAGGGGAGACUGGAAUUCCUGGUGUAGCGGUGAAAUGCGCAGAUAUCAGGAGGAACACCGGUGGCGAAGGCAGGUCUCUGGGCCACUACUGACGCUGAGAAGCGAAAGCAUGGGGAGCGAACAGG
rnacentral:rRNA from 1 species